GUUUCCUUCAAGGAGUUAAACUGCACGAGAAAAAGAUACACUUAUUUCGGCACUUAGCUUUUGGGUGCCAAGCUGAUGUUUUUCAACAAGCAUUCAUGACAAGAAAAACAGAAAAAAUUGUGGUCUGCAUUUUUUUUAAUUCUGAUUUCAGCCAUAAUCUAUGCAUUUCUUUACAUAACAAUUGCUCGAUGCAUAGUAAAGUCAGCAUAUUGUCAUUGGGAAUGUUAUACAUUCUAUUUAACAACUGUAAGUAUUCUAACUCCAACAUUCAGAAUAAUAAAGUACGCUGUACACAGAAAUAGCUUGAUAUUUUAGUAUAGUGUCACAUACACAAUAUGGGUAUGAACAGACGCUUCAUUUUCAUUGCAUCGCAAAGAAUAUACCUUUUGUUUACAGACACAAAAAAGGAGAACAUACCUGUUGCUUCAACCCCAUCCUGGU
rnacentral:misc_RNA from 1 species